UGCAGUCGAGGGGUAACAGAGAAAAGUUUGCUUUUUUGCUGACGACCGGCGCACGGGUGCGUAACGCGUAUGCAAUCUACCUUUUGCUAAGGGAUAGCCCAGAGAAAUUUGGAUUAAUACCUUAUAGUAUGAUGACUUGGCAUCAAGAUAUCAUUAAAGGUUACGGCAAAAGAUGAGCAUGCGUUCUAUUAGCUAGUUGGUGUGGUAACGGCAUACCAAGGCAACGAUAGAUAGGGGUCCUGAGAGGGAGAUCCCCCACACUGGUACUGAGACACGGACCAGACUCCUACGGGAGGCAGCAGUGAGGAAUAUUGGACAAUGGAGGCAACUCUGAUCCAGCCAUGCCGCGUGCAGGAAGACUGCCCUAUGGGUUGUAAACUGCUUUUAUACAGGAAGAAACACCUCUACGUGUAGAGAUUUGACGGUACUGUAAGAAUAAGGAUCGGCUAACUCCGUGCCAGCAGCCGCGGUAAUACGGAGGAUCCAAGCGUUAUCCGGAAUCAUUGGGUUUAAAGGGUCCGUAGGUGGAUAAUUAAGUCAGAGGUGAAAUCCUGCAGCUUAACUGUAGAAUUGCCUUUGAUACUGGUUGUCUUGAGUUAUUAUG
rnacentral:rRNA from 1 species